rnacentral:misc_RNA from 1 species
UAUAACGUGGACCUCACUAUAUAUAGUUAACCUAGAAUAAAUUCAUCAACAGUCGUCAGUCUUGUUUGAAACAGAUAACAGAGUUUCGAAAAUUUGCAUAAUAUGUACAUGACUAUUAUUUUAUAAACCACUAUAAUUUUAAUUCGUGUUUUUACUGUUGGUUAUGGUAUUAGUUAUAAAAUGAAGUAGCAAUAAUGUAGCAUACCUAAUAAAAAAAUCUUUAUUAUAACAAGAAAGAAACUGACUUAUAUGUUGAUAACAAUAGCAUUAGGCUACUACUGCCUAUAUCGUACCUAUAUUUUGAGUUUUCUGUGGAGAACGAAUGGCUCAAGUUAAUGAAGCUAAUGAAAUAUCAAAAACCUACCAAAAAUAAAAAUGCCAUUUAUGUCUGCCUGUCACCACAUAGAAAGCUUUCCGAAAGACACAACUCCUUGUUUCAAGAAGUUUUAUCGAUCAUCUGCAUUUCUUCACGUGAAUAACAAACGAAGGCACGCUACACUACUGCAAAUAAGUAUUUUACAGAUAUCAAAGAAAGCGGUGAAAAGAAUGAAGUUUUUGAUCCUUGAGGUGUCCUUAUGCGCGUCUCUCCUCUAGGAAAUACUGGAAUGAAGUGCAUCUAACGGGUGAACCUAUUGUACUGCAUCAUAAAAGCGGAAGAAGGAGGUGAAAUCAACUUGCCGACUGUUUAGCUGUGGUAAAAGCUAUCAAAUCCAUGAAUCCAGGAACCUAUUCAAUUCUCAAGAACAUCUCUGUCAUAAUGUGGUCGGACCCGUUCACCAAGGAAGGCACAUAGAAGACUGGCUUAUGAUGGCGAAAGACUUUUGAAGGCGGUUACCUUGAUUGGGAUCAUAUCUAUUAAACCUUCGAAUCCUGCACUCAAAAGUAAAUGUGAUACCAUUCAAAUGGAAUAAGAUUGAUUUGAAUUGGAAUUUGUUAUUCCUGUAUCAUAGUGCAUUUUUCUACUAGUUACCCUACGUAUUGUACAUUAUUGUAAUAAAGCACUAGCUGUUCCAUAGUAGAAGUCUUUGAAAUAAAAGGUUUCUUUUUCAAGUUA